UCAAGGUACAGUACGGCGUCUCAAACAAGUCAGCCUGAACGCUUGAUCCAUGAAGUCACCCUUGAUCACCACCAGAGACUGCAAGCUACUUUAAGACUCAGGGAUUGGAAUAUAAAUCAACAAAACACAAUGAAGGUAACUCACUGAAGAGAAGAUGUGUGGCAAGGGUGGUUGUUUUCUGAUGGACACGGUACUACUAAUGCUUUCAAGAUAUUCUCUUCCUGGAUCGAGAAACACCCCCUUCUAUAUCUGAGGCUCUGACUCUACAUGGAAUGAAUACCCCAGACAGUGGAGAACAGAGAGUGCAAUGUUCUGGGAGACAGAGCCUUAACAACAGACAGGUGUGCGCUGUGUAGCCCACUGGCCUGCGUGACUAACUGAUCUGCCAGGCACGUGUACCCGCUUGCUCACACACGUAAUACAGGAUUAUGGAUGCUGACAGAGAUGGAAUAAGGUGGUGUGUACAGAUAAAUAUCAUAUGUGGCCACUGCUAGUUAUUAGCCUGUAAUGUGGAGAGGCUCUGCAACUUGUUGGAGAGAAGAUCAAGUGUUCGGUGCUCUCUUCACCUCCUUAUACCGGCAAGUGAUCAUCAAACUACAGUCAAACAUCAGCAAAGGAGUGAGUGAGUGAGUGAGUGAGUGAGUGAGUGAGUGAGUGAGUGAGUGAGUGCGAGCGAGCAAGCAAGCUAACCAUAGCCCCUGACCAACAGGUCCUUCCUAUUCAGUUUUCUUAUUCAGAUUAUCCCUAUCAGAAGUUAAGAAUUGUAUUAACCAACACCACCUUCCUAUUCAGUUUUCCCAUUCCCUGUGUAUAUCAGCCCUACACCACCAGCAAGUGAUACCACACUUCUCCCUACAUCCAGCUCUAACCCAGAACCGUGGUACCACCAGCAGGCUGAUAUGGUGUCCUGUAGUACAGGAAUUGGCAACCCUCACCACCACAGUCUUGGCUGGAUUAUACAUCGGUUGCAGCAUCCCACAUGGGACAUGCGUGCAUCACAACGUUACCUUGUGCAAAAUGUCAGGUCAGGUCUCACUACGUCAAAUCGGAGCACAGAGCAGCACAGAGCAGUCAGAAACGUACCACCUGGCAUUGCAGUGUUCAAAAAAACAUCCUCUUCCUAUCCAAUCUCUUGGGUCAGUUUGAAACAGUGAUGGUAGUUUUUAUGUCUGGAUAUUCGUAUACAGGUGCUGAUAAUGCUUGACUUUGACCAUUGUAGGACCCUCUUGUUGCAUGGGAGAUGUGUGGUUACAUGCAGAUGCUGUUAUCAUGAAUAUCAUAUGUUCAUAUGGUGUGGGUGUGGAAUACACAGUUGAGAACAUGCAAAGAAUAUGCAAAUUAGAGAUAUUAAAAUAUUGAAAUAUGUUAUUGAUAAACACAUAAAGUAAGUGUCUUCUU